UAGUGGAAUAAACCCAAUUACACACAGAGGUUAGGAGUAAAACAGAAAUAACAGAAUAUAGAGUAAAAAAUGUAGGUUUAUAAAAAGUUUGUGUGAAGAGUCUGUAAACUAAAAACUAGAAAGAUUAACGGAAAAUGAACUAAAGUAAAUAGGGGGACUGAUCCUGAGUCUACUGGGAUAGAGUCCGGUUCCAUCACACAGAAAAGUCUGUUCAUCAUGAAUCCCUUCUGCAGAAGGAGAAGGAGUUGUACAGUCUGAUAGCUUCAAGCAGGAAGGACCUCCUUCUGUGGUUCACCUGGUGGUCUGAGGAGGUCUGAGGUGGUCUGAGGAGGUAUGAGGUGGUAUGAGGUGGUAUGAGGAGGUCUGAGGUGGUAUGAGGUGGUCUGAGGAGGUAUGAGGUGGUAUGAGGUGGUAUGAGGAGGUCUGACAGGACGUCAGUGUGGCAUCAGGGGGUGGGAAGUGAAAC
ensembl:lncRNA